CCUACGGGAGACAGCAGUGAGGAAUAUUGGUCAAUGGGCGAAAGCCUGAACCAGCCAAGUAGCGUGAAGGAUGACGGCCCUACGGGUUGUAAACUGCUUUUAUAGGGGAAUAAAGUGACUGACGUGUAGGAGUUUGCAUGUACUGUCUGAAUAAGGACCGGCUAACUCCGUGCCAGCAGCCGCGGUAAUACGGAAGUUCCGGGCGUUAUCCGGAUUUACUGGGUUUAAAGGGAGCGUAGGUGGGAUGUCAAGUCAGCUGUGAAAGAUUCGGGCUCAACCUGGAAAUUGCAGUUGAAACUGGCGUUCUUGAGUGCAGGUGAGGUAGGCGGAAUUCGUGGUGUAGCGGUGAAAUGCUUAGAUAUGACGAAGAACACCGAUUGCGAAGGCAGCUUACUGAACUGGAACUGACGCUGAUGCUCGAAAGUGUGGGUAGCAAACAGGAUUAGAUACCCCUGUAGUC
rnacentral:rRNA from 1 species